AAAUAGCCCCGAUAGAAGGGAAAAUCUCCCAAUUCAGAAAAACAAGGCUUUUUUAGCCGUAGUUUUUCUGAAUUGGGAAUUGGAAUGAUAGCGGGAGGGAUC
rnacentral:sRNA from 1 species